rnacentral:tRNA from 1 species
GGGGUUGUGGCUCAGUGGUAAAGCACUUGCCUAGCACACAUGAGGCACUGGGUUCAAUCCUCAGCAACACAU